rnacentral:rRNA from 1 species
AGAUACCUACGGGGCGCAGCAGUGAGGAAUAUUGGUCAAUGGGCGGGAGCCUGAACCAGCCAAGUCGCGUGAGGGAAGACGGUCCUAUGGAUUGUAAACCUCUUUAGGCGGGGAGCAAUGCCGGGCACGCGUGCCCGGAGGGAGAGAACCCGCAGAAUAAGCAUCGGCUAACUCCGUGCCAGCAGCCGCGGUAAUACGGAGGAUGCGAGCGUUAUCCGGAGUUAUUGGGUUUAAAGGGUGCGUAGGCGGAGUUUUAAGACAGCGGGAAAAUGUCCGGGCUCAACCCGGG